ACCAUUAUCAUAAGGUAGUGCUGAACGUACAGAAGUCAGCAGAGGUCAUAGCAGCCAAGAAGCGAAGG
rnacentral:ncRNA from 1 species